CUGAAUGAUGAGAACAAAUUAAGCAGAAGAGAUAGAUGUAAGAUGACAGUAAUAAGGAAGGACUUUUUUAAGUGAAGCAACUUUUCUAUCCCAGGCUCUGGGAUUUCAUCUGUUCAUUAUGGUAGAGACAAGAACUUGUUCCAAGAUGAGGAGUCCAGACUGAGUAGGUAAUUGGGAACACCUGCUUGAGUCAGAGAGCAUAUGAACAGAGACAAGUUGCAGUUUCUGGCUGACAAAUUCUGCCACUCAUAGUCAGGAUGGACUGAUUUUUCUCCUAAUUUGAAUUAGAGUACCUUUGUGGUGUGAUUUGGGGAGUUACAGAAGUGACAUCUGUGCAGAUUUCUACCCCAAUGCUCCCCAGUGCUUGAAAUUUAUCUAUUUACUUAAAGCAGAAACGAACUCUCUCACCACAAAAUUAGAGCUUCAUUUCAAAGCUGUUAUUUGACUGUGAUACCUACUGAAUAAGAGCUAUUCAUCUUUCAAGUCUUCUGGAUUUUGUGCUGUCCAUAAAUGUACAGAUGUCAUGUAUCAAUGACCCAUGACAGGUGCUAUGAAAUAUACAGAGAUGAAGAUGCAUUUCCUCCCUCAAGGAGAUGACACUGGAAAAUGGAACCUAUAUCCAUGAAAUAUUAAGAGAACUCUACGAAACAAAAUCUAGGCUCCUACUACCUGAUGUGUGUAUAUACAAGCAGUUGUGAUAUGGUGGAAAGAGACAUGGAGAAGGACUGACAAACUUUAUAUAUAUAUUUUGUCCAGUCUCUGCAAAUAGCACAUUAUAAAUUUGGUGCUGGGCUCAGAGCAGUGCUCAAUGUAUAUUUGUUGAUUGACUAAAUGAUUGACAGUCUAGUCAUAAACCUCUCAUUCAUGAAACAAUCAUGAACUGCUGUUGACAAAUAAUGGUAUUAUUUCUUAUAAGUUCUCCGGUGAUAAUGUAGAGAAAACGGGUACACUUUCAAUUUAAACCAGUAUUAUAUAGGACUGAAAAUGUCACUUUGUUGGAGGGAGGAUGGGGCUGUGCAAGCAAAGACCCAUCACAGCUAAGUUUAGGUCCUCUGGGAACCCCUGAGAAAUGGUGAAGAGAAGGGAACCUGAAUGUGUUACUCUAAGUCAUGAUGGAGUGCAGCCCAGAUUGCAACAGUCAGCUGAGGUAAUACAUAAUAAAUAAGGCCUUGGUUAAUGCUUAGCCUGGGGUGAGUAGAAAUAGAUGAUCUGGGAGAGGAAUAAGGUUUUAUAAUAUAUGAUUAUCAAAUCCCUUUUCUCUCUGCCUUCAUAAAUAAGGACUAGGCAAGGCUCCAUUUUAUUAUGGUUAAUUUAUAAUUGUUUUAAAUAAUAGAACACAGUGGAAAUGUUCACUUAACUAAAGCAAUCAAACAUUCCAAAGUAAGCAAAAUGGAUAAUUGUAAAAGUCCUAUUCCCUGAUCAAAUAAAAAUGACCUCAUUCCUAUACUGCCUUGCCCUGGUUUCCAUUUUGGAGGACAUGGCACAGUGACCAUUUCACAUUGAAGAAUGUUGACAAUAAAGUAUGUAGACUAUGAAGCUUUCUCCCCUAGCCAAAAUAUAAGAACAAUAUUUCAUAGCACUUAAAAUUUUUAUAAAAUUCAAAUUCAAAUUUAGUGCGGUAUAUUUACCCAGAAAAUUGUGGAGAAAACAUUGAAUUUGUGAUUAGAGGAGCUGGCUUUUCAUCUUAAUUCUGUCCUUUUUCUACAUGUGUAUCCUCAGGAAAGUUACUUCAUUUCUCUGUAUUUGAGUUUUCUCUUCUAUAGAAUGAGAAUUCAACCUGAUGAUUAAGAAAAGGCAUCAUGAUAACAUCAAAAAAUUAUUGAAUUUUGAAUGGAAGCACCUGGGUUCACUUAAAAUCAAUGGGAUACUUAAAUCCUGCAUGACCUUAGUGGUCAAGUCCCUUAAUUCCUCAGGGUUUGUUUACUUAUCUGUAAAACUGAAAUACUUGGACUAGACCUCUGUGAUCUCGUCUAAUUCCAAAUCUAUAAUCAAUGUAAUCUCUUCCAGUACUAAAUCCUGUGAUUCUUAGGUGAUUUUAUAUUGUUCUGCUGAACUAUGAUUAAGAGUUUUAUUGGUUAAUCAUGUUUGAAAAAAAUCACUUAUAUGAAAUCUUUAUAUUCUUUAUCUUUAUACAUCUUUAAAAUGCCUUUAGAAGGAUUUAGUAUAUGGCCAGUUGGGGUGAAAUGUAAUCAGAAGAGAUUUUUAAAAAUAUAGGAAGUAUAAUCGCAAAUUACAGCUCUUGACCUGAUAACAUGAAUUCGGAAAAGGUCAGGACACUUAAGACAUCACAUUCUACAAUAUAUAAUUGGUUUUUUUAAAGAAGUUUUAAAUCUCCCACCAAACCAGUCUUUCCAAUUUUAUGUCCCAUUAUUUGUCUUUGUUAACCCUCUACUGCAGUUCAGUUUACUCAAUUCAAUAUACAUUUAUUAUAAAAUACUUGCUAUAUACUAAGCACUGUGUAUACUGUAGUAUACAAAUUCAAACAGAGAGAAAGAUAGUCCCUGCCCUUGAAGAGUUUGCCUUCUAAUGGGGAAGGUAGCUCUAAAAGGAAGGUGAAAAUAAGGGGAGGGAGAAGGUACUGGCAUGGAGACACGCUGAUAAAGACUGGAGAGUCACAAGUGAAGUGGGAAUAAAAUGAAGGAAAGCUGGUGUGAGCUCUCUCUCAAAAUGGAAAUUCUUACAGGAAUUCACCAAUGGGAAAAAAGAGAACACUGGAUGGAUCAUUUAGAGAGAAAGCCACAGGAAAAAAGGGAACUACUGUUAUGAGAAAUUUGAAUUUCUCAGUGAAAUGUAUGAACAUUUGAAUAGUGGUGGUAAGAGAUAGAGAAUCUGAAAUAGAGCCAGGAGAGGAAUGUCACUCAGGUUAAUCUAUCCCAAAUCUGCAUUGUCUGAUUGAUAAAUAUUUAUUGAUUUCUUGUGAAUUCCUAUCCUUUAAUCAUACAGAUUACCUUAUAUAAUAUUUCUCCACAAAUUCAACCUAUCCUUAAUUAGUUGGUUUAGUCCAGCUUCUUCAAAGAUGUCUUCCUCCUUUAAACUGCUAUGACACUCAUGAUCUGAUCUGCAUCACUCAUUGUCACUUAGAUUAUACUCUUCCAAAGCAGCACCUAUAUCAUUGUUCUAUAUGUGUGCCAAUCCAGUCUCUUAAAUAGAAUGCAAGUUUCCUGAGGAUAAGAAAUAGAAUAAGUACAUGAGUGGAUGAAUGAACUUAUAUCUUUUUCUUUAUAUUUGAAAAUGAGGCAUUUUCACUUGAGUAAUAUUUUAAUUACUAUAUGAGGUAAUGGGUCUGUGAAGAAAAAAGUGAUGAAAAGGAAAUUAGGUGGAUUUAGCUUUUUUUUUGUAAUAAUGAUAAGAAUGACAGGGAUGAUUCUGCUAACUGUACAAUGUUUAUAUAUUAGUUGUAUCUUUAUGGUAGCAAACAUUUCAUUGAAAAGAUAUUUGACAUCUUAGUCAAACAUUUAGAUAUUUCAUUAGAACAAAAAAAAUCCAUAUACUUCAAAUUGUCCCAGAUAUUUGUCAUGUAUAUAGGUAAUGCAUCUGGCUAAAUUAUUGACUGCUUCACAGUUUACUUGAAGUUUGAUAUUAUUUAGCUAUAUUUUUCUUCCUGGGGUAUUAAUAAAUACAGAGAUUGUUAAGCUUUGUAAUGAAGAGUAAGGAAGAUGUUAAUGCACUUACUUUUGGACCCUCUAGUAAUGAUAGUAGAAGAAAGUGAUAUAAUUCAUCAUUCAUUAAGUGCCUACAAUGUAUAACCUGUUAAGUUCUAUAUACUGGGAUAUAAAUCAGUGGAAAAUGUGAUUUAUUUGAUUUUACUAACUCUAUAUUUAUUGUAUCACCUAUUUCAUUGUCAUCUUCAUUAAAAUUUGAGCAAAAAAGGAUUUAUUUCAUAUAUAAUGAUUUUAUUCUGCAUAGCUAACAUCAUGUCUGGCACACAUUAGGUUUUAUUCUCUU